rnacentral:rRNA from 1 species
UACGUAGGGAGCGAGCGUUAUCCGGAUUUACUGGGUGUAAAGGGUGCGCAGGCGGCCUGGUAAGUCAGAAGUGAAAUUUCGGGGCUCAACCCCGGAGCUGCUUCUGAAACUGCUAGGCUAGAGUGUGGGAGAGGAAAGUGGAAUUCCGAGUGUAGCGGUGAAAUGCGUAGAGAUUCGGAGGAACACCAGUAGCGAAGGCGGCUUUCUGGACCAUAACUGACGCUCGGGCACGAAAGCGUGGGGAGCAAACAGGAUUAGAUACCCCGGUAGUCCCUGA